AGUGAACGCUGGCGGUAGGCCUAACACAUGCAAGUCGAACGGCAGCACAGUAAGAGCUUGCUCUUACGGGUGGCGAGUGGCGGACGGGUGAGGAAUACAUCGGAAUCUACUUUUUCGUGGGGGAUAACGUAGGGAAACUUACGCUAAUACCGCAUACGACCUACGGGUGAAAGCAGGGGAUCUUCGGACCUUGCGCGAUUGAAUGAGCCGAUGUCGGAUUAGCUAGUUGGCGGGGUAAAGGCCCACCAAGGCGACGAUCUGUAGCUGGUCUGAGAGGAUGAUCAGCCAGACUGGAACUGAGACACGGUCCAGACUCCUACGGGAGGCAGCAGUGGGGAAUAUUGGACAAUGGGCGCAAGCCUGAUCCAGCCAUACCGCGUGGGUGAAGAAGGCCUUCGGGUUGUAAAGCCCUUUUGUUGGGAAAGAAAAGCAGCAGGGUAAUACCCCGCUGUUCUGACGGUACCCAAAGAAUAAGCACCGGCUAACUUCGUG
rnacentral:rRNA from 1 species